GUUUCAAGGGUUUGCAUCUAUUCCUAGAUUACAAAGGCAAGAAUUUCUUAUAUCAAAGCGUUUAUAAAUUCAACUUCAGUUUCACAAUAUAAACCGUAAAUCAAUUUAAAUGUGAUCAAUCAAUAAAAGCAUUAAGCAUGGAGAUAAGAAAAACAAUUCAAUGAGUUUCUUCAAUAAUCAUAAUCCAAUCACAUGACAAAUGUAUUCAUCUAGGUCUACUCAUCCCCAACAACGGAGGGUUUAGUUAUUCAUAGCAAAUAAACAAGAGAAAGAGAUUAAAGAAGAAUUACAAGAACAAUGCAUGAACGAUUCUUGAUAAAUCUCCUUCAAUGGUGUUGAAAGCCGCCUCCUUUGUGUUUUGUCUGCUAGGUCACAGGUUUCUCCACUCAAAAUUAAUUCAAAAGCCCCGUUCCAAUUUGAUAAAAACGUAUUUAUAGCAUAACAGGCCCAACACGGGGCGCUUUGACCUGACUAGGGCGCCUAGCGCCGGUGCACAGCUUGAGAAACACGAACAAUCGCAGCGCUGCGCUGCUGCAUGGGCGCCUAGCGCCAACUUCCAGGGAGCUGGCGAUUCUGAAGUAAUCUGCUAGCGCCGGUGCACAGUUGAUAAACACGAACAAUCGCAGCGCUGCGCUGCUGCAGCCCACUUCCAGAGAGCUGGCGCCUCUGAAGUGGUCUGAUAGCGCCUAGCGCCCUUCUUUUGGUGUCUGGCGCCUCUGAAGCAUGGUUCUGGCGCCUAGCGCCUGCUGGCCUAGCAAGAAUCCAUCAGCAAACUUCAACAAAAGAUGUAUCCGUCCACUUGGAAGCUUUCUAGUGACCUACCUUUUAUCCAUCUCCAUUCCUACAUAACCAAACAUACUCGAAGCAAGUCAAAUGUUCAAAAAACAUGCAAUAAAUUGCAGAGGAGAUCAGCAUAGUAAAACAAUUAAAAACACAAAAUAAGGAGAAAUAUGUUAUGCAAUCACUCAAAAGAAACUUGAUAUAGAGGUAAAAUUGAAGGUAAUAACCUACAUUUUUGUCGGUUAUCAUUAGGACUUGGAAUGGAGGGAGUUUUCUAGGAUUGGAGCUAAGAAGUUAAUUAGGAUUUAGUUUAGCUGUUAAGUUUGUUAGCAUUUCUGUUUUAAUUUCUUAGCCUUUCUGUUUAUAGUUCAGUUAGUCAUAUGGAUUAUCAAUAGGAUCGACUGGUCUGAGGGGAGGAAAUCAUUUUAUGAAAUUAUAAACUAGAGAAUGCUUUAGUGAGGGAAGAGUGCUCCCUUGGCAUAACCUUGAGUGAUAAUACUAGAAAGAUAUUCAAGGAGUUAUUCAUUUGAUUUAUCAAUUCUAUCCAAUUUUAAGGAAUUCAUUUGAAAUCCAAUUCUUGAGUUCCUAACAAGUUGAAACAUGCAUGUUUCUGCAUUGGUCUUGUUUUAUCAUACAUGAUUAUGAAUUUAGUUUGUUAGAUUAGUCUUAGUUAUAGCUUAUUCUCUCUUUUAGAAUAUUAUCUCUUUCAUUUAUGAACAACCAAAAGGUUUUCCAUAACAUUAUGUUUAAAGCAACAUUGUUAAAUAGAGGAGUUAUAGUGCUAUUGCUUAGUGGAAUUUGAACAAACUGCUAUUUUCCGCAAUCCACAAUGUCAAUUGACAACACUUUCAAAGAAAGUUAGCAGCUGAUUUGCAACAUGUCUGUAGAUGUAGGAGUGUUUUGUGUUUUGUUUUGACAGAUACUUGGACAUGUUUGCGACUUCACAAAUAUACUUUUUCGACCAUUUCAUAUUCUAGUCUUCUACUUUCCAUAUAUCUUAUGUUUAGUUGUAACUUGUUUGAUUGCUCUACAUUUUGAGCAGGUCUUAGAUGAGGCAGACAGGUUAUUGAAUGAAGACUUUGAGAAAGAAUUUAAUGAGGAUUCAUUCCUAGUAAGCGGAAAACAUUUCUUUUUUCAGCUACAGGGACAGACAAGGUAUAUAUGUAGGUUUGUUAAUAAAAGUGAACUUCAUAUAUUAUUUAUUGUUAGCCAUUUUUUUCCCCUUAGCAGUAGCCAGAUAUUAUAUCUUACUGUUCAAUUGAAAAUUUUUUCCUUACAAAUUAUUCCAAAUAUCUUAUAUUGUGUUAUAAUAAUACAUUUUCUAUGCAUUGCUUAUAGAGAAAAUUGCACUCUUGUUAUUUCAGGUUCGCAAGAUUGGAAAGUUGUGUUUAAGGGAUCCUGUGAAGGUACGACUGUUAUAUUUACAAAUAUAUCAUAUUCGAUAGUAAAAUUACACUAUCUCCCCCGAAAGAUUAUUAUUUGUUACACUUUAGCUGGUUUUAAUGCCUUCGUAGGAACAACUUUUGUUAGUAUGACUCUUUCUUUAAUACUUCCUCUAUCCUAUUUUAUUUCUUUCAAAACGACAUAUAAGUACUUAAAAAUCCAACGACAAUAUAUUUUGUCCUUAAGUAAAUGUUAAUGAUCUCACUUUUCUUUAUGAUUGAAAUAAUGACUUAAUUGAUAUAAGGGCAAAUUAUAACAACCUCCCUCAAGUUAUGGCUAAAUGCAACAAACCUCCCCUUUAUUUUCAAAACCAUCAUAUACCUCUCUCUGUUACAUUCUGUUAACUCUCUGUCUACAAUAUAUUAGUGUAAUUAAUUUUAUUUUAUUUUGGGCUAAACGCUAUGGCUAAACACUUUUUAGAAUUGAUUUAGCCUACAAUAUAGCUCACAUUAGUGUAAUUAAUUUUAUUUUGGGCCAUUAGAGUAAAACAAUAUUAAUGGUGUAGAUUUGGAGUAACUCUUUUAAAUUACUCUUGGAGUCAAUAUAUAUAUAUAUAUAUAUAUAUAUAUAUAUAUAUAUAUAUAUAUAUAUAUAUCACAUUAAUCAGAGACUAACAUACACAAUUUCAUGUUAAUAAUUGAAUAAAAUAAAGAGUGGUGAUGCGGUGACCACUAUAAGUGGCACACAUUUUUUCUACCACCACACGUAAAUGUAAAACGUGAUAAGGUGACCCUCACCACCCCACCUAACACUCUUUCACUUGCUGCGUAUAAUGGGGUAAGAGGAAAAAGUUGUCAACAUUUAUCAUUAUUGUAAAAUAAAUAACUAACCUGUUUUUGUGCUUUGUUAGUUUUGCAUCGCCCCUUUCAACCCAAUCAGGAACUAAGAUCCUCCAACACCUCCCAGUCACUAAAGGAUUGGUAAAUAGGAAGCGCAUAUAUUUGAGGUAGAGGGAAGAGGGCGACCGUCUUGGAUCUGAAAAAUAAGUUUUAAAUUUGAAUCCUAAAAUAAAAAAAUAAAAAAUAAUAGGGGUCUAUUAAAAAUGUUGAAAUUAUUGGAUGAUGAAUUAAAAAAACCUUGCACAAAUUUAGGACUGCAUUUUCUCACAAAGAUUUGUCAAAUGUUGAUGCAAAUGAUUUUAUUUUAUUUUUUAAAUUGAA
rnacentral:lncRNA from 1 species